rnacentral:rRNA from 1 species
UACGAAGGGGGCUAGCGUUGCUCGGAAUGACUGGGCGUAAAGGGCGCGUAGGCGGAUGGUACAGUCAGCUGUGAAAUUCCCGGGCUUAACCUGGGGGCUGCAUUUGAUACGUAUUGUCUUGAGUUCGGAAGAGGGUCGUGGAAUUUCCAGUGUAGAGGUGAAAUUCGUAGAUAUUGGAAAGGACACCGGUGGCGAAGGCGGCGACCUGGUCCGACACUGACGCUGAGGCGCGAAAGCGUGGGGAGCAAACAGG